GAUGAACGCUGGCGGCGUGCCUAAUACAUGCAAGUCGAGCGAACAGACGAGGAGCUUGCUCCUCUGACGUUAGCGGCGGACGGGUGAGUAACACGUGGAUAACCUACCUAUAAGACUGGGAUAACUUCGGGAAACCGGAGCUAAUACCGGAUAAUAUAUUGAACCGCAUGGUUCAAUAGUGAAAGACGGUUUUGCUGUCACUUAUAGAUGGAUCCGCGCCGCAUUAGCUAGUUGUUAAGGUAACGGCUUACCAAGGCAACGAUGCGUAGCCGACCUGAGAGGGUGAUCGGCCACACGGGAACUGAGACACGGUCCAGACUCCUACGGGAGGCAGCAGUAGGGAAUCUUCCGCAAUGGGCGAAAGCCUGACGGAGCAACGCCGCGUGAGUGAUGAAGGUCUUCGGAUCGUAAAACUCUGUUAUUAGGGAAGAACAAAUGUGUAAGUAACUAUGCACGUCUUGACGGUACCUAAUCAGAAAGCCACGGCUAACUACGUG
rnacentral:rRNA from 1 species